CGCGUAGGCGAUUCGAUAAGUCUCAUGUGAAAUCCCAGGGCCUAACCCUGGAAUGGCAUGGGAUACUGUUGGAUUUGAGUUCCGGAGAGGAAGGCAGAAUUCCCGGUGUAGCGGUGAAAUGCGUAGAUAUCGGGAGGAAUACCAGUGGCGAAGGCGGCCUUCUGGACGGAUACUGACGCUGAGGCGCGAAAGCUAGGGAGCAAACG
rnacentral:rRNA from 1 species